rnacentral:rRNA from 1 species
GACGAACGCUGGCGGCGUGCCUAAUACAUGCAAGUUGAGCGCUGAAGGUUGGUACUUGUACCGACUGGAUGAGCAGCGAACGGGUGAGUAACGCGUGGGGAAUCUGCCUUUGAGCGGGGGACAACAUUUGGAAACGAAUGCUAAUACCGCAUAAAAACUUUAAACACAAGUUUUAAGUUUGAAAGAUGCAAUUGCAUCACUCAAAGAUGAUCCCGCGUUGUAUUAGCUAGUUGGUGAGGUAAAGGCUCACCAAGGCGAUGAUACAUAGCCGACCUGAGAGGGGGAUAGGCAAAAUUGGAACUGAGACACGGCCCAAACUCCUACGGGAGGCAGCAGAAGGGAAUCUUCGGCAAUGGACGAAAGCCUGACGAGCAACGCCGCGUGAGUGAAGAAGGUUUUCGGAUCGUAAAACUCUGUUGGUAGAGAAGAACGUUGGUGAGAGUGGAAAGCUCAUCAAGUGACGGUAACUACCCAGAAAGGGACGGCUAACUACGUG